rnacentral:rRNA from 1 species
UCCAAUAGCGUAUAUUAAAGUUGUUGCAGUUAAAAAGCUCGUAGUUGAACCUUGGGCCUGGCUGGCCGGUCCGCCUCACCGCGAGUACUGGUCCGGCUGGGCCUUUCCUUCUGGGGAACCUCAUGGCCUUCACUGGCUGUGGGGGGAACCAGGACUUUUACUGUGAAAAAAUUAGAGUGUUCAAAGCAGGCCUUUGCUCGAAUACAUUAGCAUGGAAUAAUAGAAUAGGACGUGCGGUUCUAUUUUGUUGGUUUCUAGGACCGCCGAAAUGAUUAAUAGGGAUAGUCGGGGGCGUCAGUAUUCAGCUGUCAGAGGUGAAAUUCUUGGAUUUGCUGAAGACUAACUACUGCGAAAGCAUUCGCCAAGGAUGUUUUCAUUAAUCAGGGAACGAAAGUUAGGGGAUCGAAGACGAUCAGAUACCGUCGUAAGUCUUAACCAUAAACUAUGCCGACUAGGGAUCGGACGGGAUUCUAUGAUGACCCGUUCGGCACCUUACGAGAAAUCAAAGUUUUUGGGUUCUGGGGGGAGUAUGGUCGCAA